rnacentral:rRNA from 1 species
UAAUAGAUACCCCGGUAGUCCACGCCGUAAACGAUGUCGACUUGGAGGUUGUGCCCUUGAGGCGUGGCUUCCGGAGCUAACGCGUUAAGUCGACCGCCUGGGGAGUACGGCCGCAAGGUUAAAACUCAAAUGAAUUGACGGGGGCCCGCACAAGCGGUGGAGCAUGUGGUUUAAUUCGAUGCAACGCGAAGAACCUUACCUGGUCUUGACAUCCACGGAAGUUUUCAGAGAUGAGAAUGUGCCUUCGGGAACCGUGAGACAGGUGCUGCAUAGCUGUCGUCAGCUCGUGUUGUGAAAUGUUGGGUUAAGUCCCGCAACGAGCGCAACCCUUAUCCUUUGUUGCCAGCGGUCCGGCCGGGAACUCAAAGGAGACUGCCAGUGAUAAACUGGAGGAAGGUGGGGAUGACGUCAAGUCAUCAUGGCCCUUACGACCAGGGCUACACACGUGCUACAAUGGCGCAUACAAAGAGAAGCGACCUCGCGAGAGCAAGCGGAUCUCAUAAAGUGCGUCGUAGUCCGGAUUGGAGUCUGCAAC